rnacentral:lncRNA from 1 species
GCAGAUCCUCCAUACCAUACCCAUCCAAAAACCGUGUCACAGCAAUGCCCUAGCUUUAUAUGGUCUUAUUAUCUGGGACAGGAAUUCAUCCGACUUGGAUACUAUGCAACAUUUGAUUAUAAUGAUGAAUUUAGAUAGAUGGGGUUCAAGAGAAUAUUUUGGCUUAUAAGCCUCGAGUGUAACAUAAACUUUCUCCACCGGAGAACAAUAUGAGCAUAAAUAACAACCUCCUACCACUCCUGCCGCGUUCUUGGCAGGUAGACGUUGGUUCUACCAUUUGCAACAAAUUUUUCUGUAGCUUAGGAUUUGGUACGAAGAAUGAUGAAAAUUCUAAGAAACACUAGAUCCAUGCUCCAAAUCCAAACAUGAUUUGAGAAAUGUAGUCGGCCAUUUCUUGUACAUGCAUGAUGCAUUCCAAAAAUAAUAAUUGAGUUUCUGUACUUGUAACUGUUGGGUCAUAAUAUUUCUCCUAUCUUGGGCUGGAUAGAUUGGGCCCAUUUAUCAGUAUAAUCUAUUGGGCUUUUAUUAUUAAGCCAUGGGACUCUUUGAGCCCAUUUAUUGUGUCAACUUUAUUUAAUUCUAUUGGACCGGGUCAGACCAGUGGAUCGACCCAUUAGAUAUUUUAAUAUCUGUUACUUUGACUUGUGAUGAUGAAAAAGCAUGACAGUUGACCAAUCCUCCUGCCAUGCAUUAAUGUGGAUGGGAUCAUAACCGGCCGGCGGGAGAAAAC